GAUGAACGCUGGCGGCGUGCCUAAUACAUGCAAGUCGAGCGAACGGACGAGAAGCUUGCUUCUCUGAUGUUAGCGGCGGACGGGUGAGUAACACGUGGAUAACCUACCUAUAAGACUGGGAUAACUUCGGGAAACCGGAGCUAAUACCGGAUAAUAUUUUGAACCGCAUGGUUCGAAAGUGAAAGACGGUCUUGCUGUCACUUAUAGAUGGAUCCGCGCUGCAUUAGCUAGUUGGUAAGGUAACGGCUUACCAAGGCAACGAUGCAUAGCCGACCUGAGAGGGUGAUCGGCCACACUGGAACUGAGACACGGUCCAGACUCCUACGGGAGGCAGCAGUAGGGAAUCUUCCGCAAUGGGCGAAAGCCUGACGGAGCAACGCCGCGUGAGUGAUGAAGGUCUUCGGAUCGUAAAACUCUGUUAUUAGGGAAGAACAUAUGUGUAAGUAACUGUGCACAUCUUGACGGUACCUAACCAGAAAGCCACGGCUAACUACGUG
rnacentral:rRNA from 1 species